AACGAACGCUGGCGGCGCGUUUUAAGCAUGCAAGUCGAACGGUAGGAAUCCUUCGGGAUUCUGAGAGUGGCGAACGGGUGAGUAACACGUAGAUGAUCUGCCUUGAAGUUGGGGAUAGCCUAUAGAAAUAUGGGGUAAUACCGGAUAAUACCUUAGAACUCUGGUUUUUUGGUUGAAAGGGGCUUCGGCCUCGCUUUGAGAUGAGUCUGCGGCUUAUUAGCUAGUUGGUAGGGUAAAGGCCUACCAAGGCGACGAUAAGUAGCCGGCCUGAGAGGGUGACCGGCCACAUUGGGACUGAGACACGGCCCAA
rnacentral:rRNA from 1 species